UACGUAGGGUGCGAGCGUUAAUCGGAAUUACUGGGCGUAAAGCGUGCGCAGGCGGUUUUGUAAGCCAGAUGUGAAAGCCCCGGGCUUAACCUGGGAAUGGCAUUUGGGACUGCAAGGCUUGAGUGCGGCAGAGGAGACUGGAAUUCCUGGUGUAGCGGUGAAAUGCGCAGAUAUCAGGAAGAACACCCGUGGCUAAGGCGGCUCUCUAGUACGGUACUGACGCUGAGACGCGAAAGCGUGGGGAGCGAACAGG
rnacentral:rRNA from 1 species